GACGAACGCUGGCGGCGUGCCUAACACAUGCAAGUCGAACGGGACCAGGGGCAACUCUGGUUCAGUGGCGGACGGGUGCGUAACACGUGAGGAACAUGACUUUCGGCGGGGGAGUAGCCGGCCCGAACCGGCCGGGUAACGUACCGCCGUACGACCUGUUGGGGUACGAUCCCUCGAUUGGUUGAAAGACAGCAAUGCACCGAAAGAAGUGCCUCGCGG
rnacentral:rRNA from 1 species